rfam:Klebsormidium nitens mitochondrial DNA, scaffold: kfl01814, whole genome shotgun sequence.
GGGAGAAUGGCUGAGCGGCUAAAGGCGAUAGACUGUAAAUCUAUUGAAGUGAUUCUACAGGGGUUCGAAUCCCUUUUCUCCCA